GCUGAUGUGGCUCAGUGGUAGAGCAGUGCACUCGUAAUGCACAGGUCGUCGGUUCAAAUCCGACCAUCAGCUCCA
rnacentral:tRNA from 2 species